GUGCUCACUUUGGAAGCAUAUAAAUUAAAAUUGGAACAAUUAGCAUGGCUCCUGCACAAGGUCAACAGGCAAAUUUGUGAAGCAUUCCAUAUUUUA
ensembl:snRNA U6 U6 spliceosomal RNA